rnacentral:rRNA from 1 species
UGUGACGAGUUUGAUCAUGGCUCAGAUUGAACGCUGGCGGAAUGCUUUACACAUGCAAGUCGAACGGUAGAGGGGGCAACCCCUUGAGAGUGGCGAACGGGUGAGUAAUAUAUCGGAACGUGCCCAGUCGUGGGGGAUAACGUAGCGAAAGUUACGCUAAUACCGCAUACGAUCUCAGGAUGAAAGCAGGGGACCGCAAGGCCUUGCGCUCACGGAGCGGCCGAUGGCAGAUUAGGUAGUUGGUGGGAUAAAAGCUUACCAAGCCGACGAUCUGUAGCUGGUCUGAGAGGACGACCAGCCACACUGGGACUGAGACACGGCCCAGACUCCUACGGGAGGCAGCAGUGGGGAAUUUUGGACAAUGGGCGCAAGCCUGAUCCAGCCAUGCCGCGUGCAGGAUGAAGGCCUUCGGGUUGUAAACUGCUUUUGUACGGAACGAAAAGACUCCUUCUAAUAAAGGGGGUCCAUGACGGUACCGUAAGAAUAAGCACCGGCUAACUACGUG